GGGUCAGUAGGUUGGUCGUGCCACCGGUACGUACUGGUCUCACUGAUUCCUCCUUCCUGAAGAACCGUAAUGCCAUUAAUUUGGUGUUGCGGGGAAGCAGGACUGUUACUUUGAAAAAAUUAGAGUGUUUAAAGCAAGCUAACGCUUGAAUACAUUAGCAUGGGAUAAUGAAAUAGGACGAUCGAUCCUAUUUUGUUGGUUUCUAGGAUUGACGUA
rnacentral:rRNA from 1 species